GCUCUGUAUUGAUAAAGUUAACAUAUUUAGGGUUUAAUGCUCUUUCUCAUGCUUCUUUCUUUUCAGUUCUAGAAGAGUUCAAUGGACCUCACUGAGUGUGGCUCCAUAUUGCUGCAGGCCAUGAUCCUUGGGAGCCAGUAUCCCUCAGUGACUCCAUUGCAUGAGGACCUGGACACCCAGGAGCACUGACUGCAUGCUGUUCUCUCAGCAUACGUUUCCAGUGCUGCAACCAGGGGCAGGACAGAAAAACCUCAUAUUAAGCACAUCCAGACCACAUAUCCUCAAGGAUUUGAAACAGUCUUCCACAGUUCAGAUCUCAGCUGGACACAUCUCCUUCAGAGACUUCCUCAAGGCAGGAGAGAAUUCAUAAAGCUUUGGGGGGUUCCUAGAGGAACCCAGCCUUCAUUCAGCACCUAGAAUCAACCUCCAAGUGAAAGGCA
rnacentral:lncRNA from 1 species